AGACAGACAGAUAAAUAUAUCAUUGCAGAAAGGAUGACACUCAACUCUCUGUUUGUCUUUAGAAAAAAACUACGGAAUAUCGGUCGACACCAAGUUCGUGGAACAUGAAGAGCAAGAUAUAUCCUCUUCAAAACUAUUCUUCUGGGUCUGGAUCACAAUAAUCGUGGUUCUGACUUUCGGUUUUCUGGCUUGCCUGAACAGAAAAUCACUUCUGUCAUAGUGUGCAAGGUCAAGAAAGACAGAAGGUACCUCUAAUACCAAAUUCCCGAGCGCCGAACAGAAGCGCGGAAACGUCCGAAUAGCAGUUGUGAAACCAUUAGCAGAGCAUAAACUGUUAUCAGAGACCAGAGAAAUCUUCAGAGGCAAUCCUGUUGUAUUACUGACUGUGGACAGUUUGAUUGUUUUCCAAUUGGUUUAGAAUUAUCCUUAAAUUCGUGGACACUCAAUAAAGCUCAUUGCUUUUUUCUCAAGCACAUGCACUGGAGCUGCUUCAGACGCCGAAGGAUGCCAUGGCGAGCAAAGCUUCCAUGUAGUUGUGCCUUAACACUUCACAAAUGACAAUUCAUGUACACUGUCUAAAAAGAAAUAAUAACCAAGGGGCGAUAUUACCAUGUCACAUAAUCUGCAUGUGCAUGAACAUUUUCAGAGAUAAUAUUUCCAUGUACUUCUGAACUCAUUAGAACAGUACUUUUAGUGUUUCUGAAAGCAAUUAGGCUGAAUUGGUCAUACAUUCCAACUGAGGCGGAAUCACUCAACUUUUACCUUAGCUGUAAUCAAUCAUUUGCCUGUAUAAAAAUGAAAAUGUGACUUCUGUCAGGAAAAUGUUUUAUGGAUAAGUGUCUCUUUCUUUGGGCCGGCGCAUUUGAGACUUCAUGGACCUAUUACCCAGCGACGAGGAUGUUUCUCUUCUGGAGUGCAUACUGUAUUUAUGUUGGGGUGGAGAUUUUCUGUAGGGUGAGACAAACACAGACAUGCUUAUAAUAGGUUGGCUGGUUGUUAAGUCUUGAUCUUCCACAACUGAAGGAUAUGUGAUGUGUGUAUACAAAACCGAGUAUAACAUCUCUUUUCAGGCAAAAGAUGUUGAAUUCAAUGUAAGAAAAAUACAGUCACUUUAACUAGUGACCUUUACAUUUCUUUGAUUGAGUUUUGUAUUAAGCUAUGACAUCACCUCUUGUAAUCCCUGAAGUUCAAAUAAAAGGUAUAUCUGUCGAACAUGUUGGCUAAUAAGUCUUCAUUGACGUUACUUCACACCUCCAAGAGUCCUAUGACGUACACUUUGAACAAAAUACAGUGAAUUCACUUAUAUUCAGCUUAGAUUGGAGACCAAGUACAUUCCAUGAUAGAAGGGAGGUAACUCUAUCAUUCUGAGCCGGCCACUUCCUCAGCUAGUCCUUAAGUCGUUGAGAUCAGCCUUAUCAUCUUUCAUUUUCCAAGUUAUAACCUCACCAUCUUUGAAGAUUAGUUAAUCAAAUCUGAGACGCCCUCUACGGCCUUUCUCCCUAACCGCUGUUAGAUCUCUGCAAGUUGAUUAGACGCAUCACAAGAACUUAUAUGAUUGAUAAAUGUGCUCCUGUCGACCAGUAUGGAAUGUUUGUUUUCCCCGAGACGUGCAUGUUAUAACCCGCGUUGACGGGGUACACAAGAACGUUUAAAAAGCAAAGAGUGAGUUAGUGGGAUUGGGUGAGUGAGUAAAU